AUUGAACGCUGGCGGCAGGCAUAACACAUGCAAGUCGAACGAGUGGCGGACGGGUGAGUAAUGUCUGGGCAACUGCCCGCUGGAGAGGGAUAACUACUGGAAACGGUAGCUAAUACCGCAUCCCAUCGGAUGUGCCCAGAUGGGAUUAGCUUGUAGGUGAGGUAACGGCUCAACUAGGCGACGAUCCCUAGCUGGUCUGAGAGGAUGUACAGUCACACGGGAAAUGAGAAACGGUCCAGACUACUACGGGAGGCAGCAGUGGGGAAUAGUGAACAAGGGGCGCAAGCCUGAUGCAGCCAUGCUGCGUGUGUGAAGAAGGCCUUCGGGUUGUAAAGGACUUUCAGCUGGGAGGCGUUACCCGCAGAAGAAGCACCGGCUAACGCCGUGCCAGCAGCCGCGGUAAUUC
rnacentral:rRNA from 1 species